AAAGUCUGCGAAGCUACACCGAAAGGAGUAGUGGAGAUAUCACAAGUGAGAAUGCCGGAAUGAGUAGCGAGAAUUAUGUGAGAAUCAUAAUGGUCGAAAAUCUAAGGUUUCUUGAGGAAGGUUCGUCCGCUCAAGGUAAGCCGGGAGCUAAGGCGAGGCCUAGAGGCGUAGUCGAUGCACAUACGGUAAAGACUCCGUAGCCACCGAAGUCGUUAAAUACAGGGACACAGGAACAUAGCCCAUCCCCACCGUUGGUUGAGUGGGGCGUAAGGGAGCGAAAAUUAGUAGCGAAGUGGGUGAUUGUACACUGGCGAGAAAAGCUGUAUGAAUUGACCAGGUGCCCGUACCGCAAACCGACACAGGUAGAUGAGGAGAGAAUCCUAAGACCAGCGGGAGGAGUGUUGUUAAGGAACUUGGCAAAAUGACCCCGUAACUUCGGGAUAAGGGGAGCCUACGCGAGUAGGUCGCAGAGAAUAGUCUCAAGCGACUGUUUAGCAAAAACACAGGUCUAUGCUAAAUCGAAAGAUGAUGUAUAUGGGCUGACGCCUGCCCGGUGCUGGAAGGUUAAGGGGAAGUGUUAGAGCAAUCGAAGCACUGAACUUAAGCCCCAGUAAACGGCGGCCGUAACAAUAACGGUCCUAAGGUAGCGAAAUUCCUUGUCAGGUAAGUUCUGACCCGCACGAAUGGCGUAACGACUUGAGAGCUGUCUCAACAACAUACCCGGCGAAAUUGAAGUACUGGUAAAGAUGCCAGUUACCCGUGAUAAGACGGAAAGACCCCAUGGAGCUUUACUGUAACUUGAUAUUGAAUUUUUGUAUUACAUGUACAGGAUAGGUGGGAGACAGAGAACUAAUGCCGCCAGGUGUUAGGGAGUCGAUGUUGGGAUACCACUCUUGUAAUAUGAAGGUUCUAACCUGCACCCGUGAAUCCGGGUGGGGGACACUGUCAGGUGGACAGUUUGACUGGGGCGGUCGCCUCCUAAAAGGUAACGGAGGCGUUCAAAGGUUGGUUCAGCACGGACGGAAAUCGUGCAACGAGUGCAAACGCAUAAACCAGCCUAACUGCGAGACCGACAAGUCGAGCAGUAACGAAAGUUGGAGUUAGUGAUCCGGCGGUAUGAGAGUGGAAUUGCCGUCGCUCAACGGAUAAAAGCUACCCUGGGGAUAACAGGCUGAUCUCCCCCAAGAGUCCACAUCGAGGGGGAGGUUUGGCACCUCGAUGUCGGCUCAUCGCAUCCUGGAGCUGUAGUCGGUUCCAAGGGUUGGGCUGUUCGCCCAUUAAAGCGGUACGCGAGCUGGGUUCAGAACGUCGCGAGACAGUUCGGUCCCUAUCUAUCACGGGCGUAGGAAAUUUGAGGAGAGCUGACCUUAGUACGAGAGGACCGGGUUGGACGUACCGCUGGUGCACCUGUUGUUCUGCCAAGGGCAUAGCAGGGUAGCUAAGUACGGACGGGAUAAACGCUGAAGGCAUCUAAGCGUGAAGCCCCCUUCGAGAUAAGAUUUCCCAUAGCGUAGGCUAGUAAGGACCCAUGAAGACUACAUGGUUGAUAGGCCGGAGGUGGAAGUGCAGUAAUGUAUGUAGCUGACCGGUACUAAUAGUCCGAGGGCUUGACC
rnacentral:rRNA from 1 species